rnacentral:tRNA from 1 species
GUGCUUGUGGUGUAGUGGUAAUCACAUUCGCUUUACACGCGAAAGGUCCCAGGUUCAAUCCCUGGCAGGCACA